GUGUCAGCAGCCGCGGUAAUACGGGGGGUGCAAGCGUUGUUCGGAAUUAUUGGGCGUAAAGAGCGUGUAGGCGGCUUGAUAAGUCAGAUGUGAAAGCCCUGGGCUUAACCCAGGAAGUGCAUUUGAAACUGUCUUGCUUGAGUAAGGGAGGGGGAAGUGGAAUUCCUGGUGUAGAGGUGAAAUUCGUAGAUAUCAGGAGGAACACCGGUGGCGAAGGCGACUUCCUGGCCCUAUACUGACGCUGAGACGCGAGAGCGUGGGUAGCAAACAGGAUUAGAUACCCCGGUAGUCC
rnacentral:rRNA from 1 species